rnacentral:sRNA from 1 species
AGAAGAUAAGUAACAGUUUCCAUAUAGACACAAUAGAUUAAUUGAAAAGGGGGAGUUUUUACUGGUCUCCU